rnacentral:lncRNA from 1 species
GCUUCCCGAGGUUGACCAGAAGGAUGCCAUAAAAUGUGCUGCGCCCACAUAGGUGAGCGCAUCAUGGGUGGCGGCCGCACUGGCCAAUGUUCACCCCCAGGCAGCAGCACCUGGUGCAGUUUUGGCUGGAGCUGAGCUGGCCACUCUUCUGGCCACAGUGCCUGGGAGCCUUUCAGGUAGCAGAAAUGCUCAGGCGCUGAUCCUACCACUGAUAGGUGCUUGGCGAGUGCCAUGUUCACAGUCACAGUGAGCUUCCUGUUCCCCAGCCCCAGUUCACCACUCCCUCCCCUUAGCUCUCCUUGCCCCCUGCUGUCUGCCAGCUUGCCUCCCCAAGGCUGGCAAGUGCAUGCGUUGAUGCUCUUCCCUUCCCAGUGGAGCCCAGCCAUCUGAGCCUAGUCCAGCUCCCUGAGCACACCUCCAGGGGCAGGCCAAGAAGAGAAAAAAAAAAACCAGUACCACAAAAGCAUCCCAGGUCUGUCCCAGGCAUGCAACCGCAUAAGCCCUUGCAUUCUCCUGAGCUGUAGCUUUUCAUUGCAGCCUCGCCUCCAAGCCAAGUCAAACCCUUGACCUUGUAGCUCUAACAGGAGCUACAGGAGAAAUUUUGAGUCUUUGGAAAAAAAGGAAGGUGGGUAUGGGGCAGACCUGCAGUCCCAGCUACUCUGGAGGCUGAGGCGGAGGAUCACUUGAACCCAGGAGUUCAAGGCCAGUUUGGGCAGCAUUGUGAGACCCCCCUUUCAAUAAAGGAAAAAUAGGAAAUUAAAAAGGGACAAAAAUUGCACCUUUCAGCCUUUCCCCAGCCCCAGGAGCCAUGGGUAAGAAGGUGGUUCCUAGGCCUCUCCCUCCUCUUGAGACCGGUCAUAACCCUAGAGUCUUGAUUCUGGUUCCUGAGGAGGUCCAGUUCUAGAUGCUAAUAUGGGUCAUGCUGAUUUGGGUUCUGUUCUCUCCACACAGAUGGCAUUCCACGGGAGGGACACUACACAGGGGUCACCUUAACCAACUCUUGGGGGGAGGGGAGAGUAAUGCAGUACUCCUCAAGCAGACAGUUCUAGCCCAAGCAAGGGACAGUGGUGACUUUUAGGGUACAUUAGGGUUGAAGGAUGGUAGAGUGUGGCAAGGGGCCCCAUGGAAGUCCAUCUUUGUUUCUGAAAGAAGCCACAGAAUAAUCUCAUUUUGAACUUCAAGUGCUCAAGGAAUACCCUGAAAUCAGAUCUAAUCCUGGACAGGGACAGUAGCUUGUUGGGUCACCUCCUUCUUGUCACUUUGCCUCUUCUGCAAAAUAGAACUGUC